AGCGUCGGGUGAUUGUUCAUAUCUGUCAUUUAAAAUAAAGUUAAUAAAUGUAAUUCUGUCCACUAUGGCAAAAUAGGAAUUUAUUUUAGAUUUAGGGGAAUCUUUAACCAUGUCUCUGAUUAAAACUUUUGAUUGUAACAUCACAAGUUAUUUAAUUAAAUAUUCUGUAUACGGGUAUAGUUUAAGCAAUGACCUGAGCCAUUACCUUCGGAGCCGUCAAUACUACAUUCUUUAGACGAUAGUCUAAACUAAAUAAAUUUUUUAAACGGUUCAGGAAUUCCGUGAAUCUUUUCAUAACCUGCACUAUAGUUUCACGCCUAUUAAAGAUCCGGCGGUGCCUGACAAAGCGCAGGGUGAGCGUUCAUAUCUGACAUUUUAAAAUAAUGUUAAUAAAUGUAAUUCUGACCACUAUGGCAAAAUAGGAUUUUAUUUUAGAUUUAGGGGAAUCUUUAACCAAGUCUCUGAUUAAGACAUGUGUAUAUGUGCACAGAUGGUGACAGAGAAACUUAUAUAUGACGUUAAUAAACUUUUAAAUGUUUUUAAGACGUAUUCACCCCAUUUUGGGGGUUUUAUUUUUAAUUAAAGGCUUCUUAAAACAUGUGUGAAUAUGUGUAUAUUAUACAAAGAGUCUUAUAUUGUCUGCUCUGACAAAAAUAAAGUAUUAUUCUAGACUUAGGGGAAUUGACUGCAUGUGUCUUAUAAAUACAACUUGAUAAUACGUUUGUUUUGUAAAGAGACUUCUUUAAAGUCACGCAAGAAUAAAAUAUUUUAGUUGUAACUGGUUAAACUUAAAGCCGAUAUUUUCUAUCGAACUAGUCUAUUUUCUGUACAGACACAAAGUUUUCUGAUGCUGAUAUUAUGUCAGUGUGUGUUUGUGUGGGGGUCGUGUGAUGUAAUCUUUGCAAAGUUUAUGACCGAACCUUUAUUGGUGAGCGACAAGAGAUCCCCCGGAAUCAGUUUGGAUGGAGCAGAGCUGUUAUACUCAAGUCUAUUGCGAAAAUGUCUAAACUGGUAUUAACUAUUCCUGGUAAAUCGCGGAGAAGAGUGCCCUGAACAAAAAAGUCAGACCGAGACUAGAACCUCCCGCAGCGUAACACGGAAAUCUUGGAACAAAAGAGACGCCGUCUGGCUCGUGUUGUCCGGUUUGGAUAUCAGAGGCAAAGCGAACGUUGUGUGUACUAUUGCAAAAUAUAUAGCGGAUCUCCACGGUUAGGAUACAGACCACAACGCUUUGGACGUAUCUUUAAAAAAGAUUAAAAUCAGAGACUUUUUGGAUUUGUCUGGGGACAUUUUAAACAUUUUGUGGCAAAUUGGAUUUAAAACAUUCCGGAUACUGGAUACCUAGUUUGAUUUGUCCACAGAGCUUGUUUAAGACGUUUUCACCACAUUUUAGGGUUUAUUUUUAA